rnacentral:rRNA from 1 species
UCUGUUUCGUAGCUAACGCGUUAAGUUCUCCACCUGGGGACUACGACCGCAAGGUUGAAACUCAAGGGAAUUGACGGGGGCCCGCACAAGCGGUGGAGCAUGUGGUUUAAUUCGAUGCAACGCGGAAAACCUUACCUGGACUUGACAUCCCCGGACAUCCCUGGAAACAGGGCUUUCCCAGCAAUGGGACUGGGUGACAGGUGGUGCAUGGCUGUCGUCAGCUCGUGUCGUGAGAUGUUGGGUUAAGUCCCGCAACGAGCGCAACCCUCGCGUCUAGUUACUAACAGUUCGGCUGAGCACUCUAGAUGGACUGCUGGUUUCACGCCAGAGGAAGGUGGGGACGACGUCAAGUCAUCAUGCCCCUUACGUCCAGGGCUACACACGUGCUACAAUGGCAGGUACAGAGGGCAGCGAACCCGUAAGGUGGAGCCAACCCCACAAAGCCUGCCUCAGUUCGGAUUGGGGAUUGCAACUCAUCCCCAUGAAGGUGGAAUCGCUAGUAAUCGUGAAUUAGCAUGUCACGGUGAAUACGUUCCCGGGCCUUGUACACACCGCCCGUCACACCACCCGAGUCGGGUGCUCCCGAAGUCGCAUACUUAACCAGCU